GGCGGGCUGUCACAUGUUUACAUUCAAUAUCCGCCUUUAAGAUGUAGAAUUCCAGGAUCAAGGGGUUUAUAUUACGAUGAUGGGAGUAAGUUGCUACUUGGCCCAACAUCUAAUCAGGUGUUUUCUUGGAAGACUGUUCCUUUUGAUCCUCAUGUUGCGCCUACAUCUGAUUCAAUAAGUGAAGGCCCAAUCUUAUCUAUUAGAUAUUCUUUAGAUGCGAAGUUCAUAGCAA
rnacentral:misc_RNA from 1 species